UCUAAUUAACAACUUAUGGUUUAAAAUUAAAAGAGAGACAGGAGUGCAUAUGUGAGAGGAAAAGAGAUACAUGAAUAAAAUGAUAUGUGAGAGGGAAAGAAAUAUAGAAAAUGAAAUGAAUAUGAUAAAGAGAGAGAUACAAAAAGGGACAUAAUGAUUGUGAGAAAGAGAAAAAAUAUUGGUCUAUUUAUAUAAUUAUAAUAAUUGUUAUAUAUGAAAUAUAUGAAUUAUACAUGCGGAGCCGUCCACCUAGUUUUAUCUUAAGGCAUCUCCAAUCUUAACAUCGAAAUCACACUAAAUUUAGUGUUUUGGUGUCAUUGUUUUUUUUUCUCAUCUUUAACCAUGACACCAAAAAUAUUACACCAACAGUAAUAUAAUAUAUUAUUUGAUAUUUUCAGUUUUAAUAUUACUUGUAAUUAAUAAAUAAUUAUUUUAUCACACUUUGAUAUUAUGUUUGUUAAUUUUUUGUAAUUUUAUGUUUAUAAAAUUUAUUUAUAUUUAUAUAUUUUUUAAAAUAUUGUACUUUUAUUUAUUUGUUUUAUAUAAAUAUUAUAUCAAAAAUUACAAACUGUUAAUUAUAAAAAGCACGCAACCAAAUUAUAUACUUAUUUUAAUAAAAUCUGUAUUAGUUAGUAAUACAAAUUUAUUAUAAAAUAAAAAUAAAAAUGUUAUUUUAAUGUUUGGUGGAUAUAAUAGUACUACAUAAAGUUUGUAAUUAAGUACUAUUAAAUCAAAAUUUACAAUAAAGUAAUAUUAUUAAUUGUUUUUUACUGAUUAAAUUGAAUAAAGAUUAUAAUCGAUAUUUGAAAAUAAAACUAUAUUACAUCAUACUGAUUCUUAAAAAUAUACCAGAUAUGUAAAAUAUAUUUAAAAUACAAAUAAUAACGUAUAUUUAUGUUUAGUUACAAAUUUUAAUUAAUAAUAAUAAUUGAACUACAUUAUUAAAUGAAACAUAAGCAAAAUAUGCAUAUAAACUAUUUGGUGUGAUAAAUAGUGUUACGCCAAAUUUGAUGUAACACAAUUCAUUCAACACCAAAUUUGAUGGGAUGGUGUUUUUUGGUGUCUCACUGGAGAAAAAAUCAUACCAAAUUUGAUGUUUUGGUGUACGAUUGGAGUUGGCCAAGAUUUUAUAUGUUUUAUUUGAUAGCUUGUUUUACUAUCUCUUCUUAAGGUGAUCAGUACCCUUGAUCUUUCUAACAACUCUUAAAGACUUAUUCAAAUAUGCAAGUAACUUUUAUUACC